rnacentral:rRNA from 1 species
UACGAAGGGGGCUAGCGUUGCUCGGAAUCACUGGGCGUAAAGCGCACGUAGGCGGCUUCUUAAGUCAGGGGUGAAAUCCUGGAGCUCAACUCCAGAACUGCCUUCGAUACUGGAAGACUUGAGUCCGGGAGAGGUGAGUGGAACUGCGAGUGUAGAGGUGAAAUUCGUAGAUAUUCGCAAGAACACCAGAGGCGAAGGCGGCUCACUGGCCCGGUACUGACGCUGAGGUGCGAAAGCGUGGGGAGCAAACAGG